rnacentral:RNase_MRP_RNA from 1 species
AGAGAGUCGACUGAACUCUUCUCACACUGCGCCUGGGGAAAUUCUCCGAAUACGAAGCUAGAAAGUAGCAGCGAGAAAUCGUGAAAACCUGUGAAAGACGCGCGAAGACGGACCGUGCCUCGCACGGCCCUGAGCUUAGUCUAGGAACGGGCUGGAUUCAUUGCAACAAAGUUAUUCGAUGCAUACCUCUUGGUAUUGAACUCAACGGAGAUUACUCUCGGU